ACCUAGAGCUGCAGAAUGACUGCUGUUUACAGUGAGAAAAGAAGUCAAUGCACCAGCACAAGAUGUCUGUUCUCUCUCUGUAUUUGAUGACGCAGUGUUCAUGUCAUCUGAAAAAAAAAAGCUUCUAAAGGAUUUCAAGUGAGACACGCACCCCAAUAAAGUGAAUCUGGCAGGGAGGGAUGGUGUAAAGCCGGUUGCCUUCAACUCUAUCUAGAAAUGUCAGUGAAAGCUGUAAACCACAUAUAGCUUUUGAUAUUUGAACUAUGGAGAUAAUGUGAUGCAAAUGGGUCGCACUGCGCAGAUGCAGGUGAUCUUGAGUCACUUCCUCAAGCCACACUCGUGGUAUUAUUUAGAAGAGGACAACAAGCAAAGUUAAGUCUGACACAGAGAAAGGGACCGAUGUGUGUACUUCUAACAUGUUUGGUUGGUUAAAUAAAUGUUGUAAAUUCAAAUCAGAGCAUCUUCCGUGUCUGGAAUGGAUGUGUUCUUGAGUCUAUAAGGUAACAAUAAUAUAAUAAGAUAACCUUGUU